rfam:Ovis aries breed Texel chromosome 7, whole genome shotgun sequence.
CCCCUGGUGGCUCAGAGGUUAAAGCAUCUGCCUGGAAUGCGGGAGACCUAGGUUCGAUCCCUGGGUCGGGAGA